rnacentral:rRNA from 1 species
UACGUAGGGGGCUAGCGUUGUUCGGAAUUACUGGGCGUAAAGCGCACGUAGGCGGAUCGAUCAGUCAGGGGUGAAAUCCCAGAGCUCAACUCUGGAACUGCCUUUGAUACUGUCGAUCUAGAGUAUGGAAGAGGUGAGUGGAAUUCCGAGUGUAGAGGUGAAAUUCGUAGAUAUUCGGAGGAACACCAGUGGCGAAGGCGGCUCACUGGUCCAUUACUGACGCUGAGGUGCGAAAGCGUGGGGAGCAAACAGG